rnacentral:tRNA from 1 species
AGAGAGUUGCCGGAGCGGUCGAACGGGCUCGCCUGGAAAGCGGGUAUACCUCAAAAGGGUAUCGGGGGUUCGAAUCCCCCACUCUCUG